CUUUUCCUCCUCCUCCUCCUGUCCUGUCGGGAAAAAGGAUUGCUUCCUGUCCAUCAAGCAAUGUCUGCUGCCUCGGGAUCUCAUCAGCCUCAAAUGGGAUUACACUGGGGAAAUAAUGUUGAUUGGUAUCAACCCACAGAGAGGAAGGUUUCCUUGUUUGAAAAAUGGAAGGUUGUUACGGGAUGCUGGGUUCGGAGAAAACUCCAUUGUGUUGUGCAUGGGAUUGGGUCACUCCCAGUGCAUAUCUACAUAAUCGCUGCUGCUGCUGCUGCUGCUGCUGCUGCUGCUGGUGUUAGCUGCACCUUUCUGUGAAUUCAUCAGGAAAGAAAAACAGGGUUGUCAGAUGAUCCAAAACAAUGCACUUGUUUCCUCGAGACUGGAAGAUAUGUUUUUUUGUUGUUGUUGUUGUUUUUUGCAUGGCGCACUGAUGCCCCUUAUCUGUUUUGAACUGGAUUAUGUGGCAGUGUAGACUCAUAUAAUCCAUUUACAAGCGGAUAAUGUGGAUUAUCCGCUUUGAUAAUCUGAAUUAUAUCGCAGUGUAAAAGAGGCCUAAGAGUUCAUAGUCGGAGCCCAAAAGAAAGAGGAAAAGCUCAUGCUCAAACAACAAAGUAUCCCUGCAGUAGAGAUCAAGAUAAUGUUAAUCCAGGCUGGGAAUCCGAUAGCCAUAUAGUUUCUUAAGGUCAAGAAGUCACAAGGGUACAAAAACUCAACACCAUGCAUGAAAUUAGAGCAGUGAGCUGAGAACUGUCUUCCCUCCUAACCACAACAUGUAUACAGUAUAUGUUGGAAAUUAAAACCUUCUUUAAGCCUCCUCUAGAUAUUGGUUUAUCUAUAAUCUUGUUGCUUACUUAUUGUAUGCAUGUUCUGAAAUGCAGCUUUCUUUACUUGCUCUAUGUUUUUCCUGAGAAGUUGUGGGAUGGGCUGCAGGCACUUUGGGACAAGCACAGACUUUAGAUUUUGGAACUGCUCAGAUAGACUUGCAAAUACUUGCUGUUAAUUAUAAAAGAGAUGUCCUGACCAGAUGGUACAAAAACUAUCUCAAACAUAUCUGCAACUGACUGAUAAGCUGUGUACCUGUGUAUGCUGAACACAUGAAGGUUGUGAGUAAACCAAAUAUGUUAUUUUUUUUACCAUCGUCUGUUUUGUCUCUGGAAUGAUUACUAUAAAACAAGAAGCUCUAUGGGAGAAUAGAUAUAUACUCUUGCCUUUCACCACAUUAUUGUUAAGUGUAACACUCACACACAUAUAUAUAUUUGGGCAUUGGAAAACACUUCUGAAGAACUGCUAUUUUUAUGCACUGGCAUAUUCUUUGUUUCCUAACAGAUCAGAGACAACAGGUCAUUCAGUCUAACAACUGAAGCUAUUUGCCUUGAAUUCAGUCUAACAACUGAAGCUAAUUGCCUUGCAUAUGGUAAUUACAUUUGGUUGUAUACCACUUGAGAAGAUUCUACUCAAACAAGUUUUUGGCUCUCCUCCAAAAGGUUAUGAUCUCUAAAAGGUCAUGCCUUUCUAAAGGUUUAUGAAUACAAUUUUCUUAGAGUAUACAGAUAUAUGGUGCUUUAGGACAUAAAAAUAAACCAUGUUGAGAUUCCAACCAUGUUUUAAAACAAAAUUUAAGAGACAAAUAGCUGCUCACCUAUGAUCAGGCUAGGUCAGAGACAAAGGAACUGAUUAAAAACUGGGUAUUCUUUUCAGAAUGGAUUCACAAUAAUAAGGCAAAAGGUUUGGAUAAUUUAUUUCAUACAGCAAUAGAAAUUACUUAGUUUAGAAUAUAGCUUUUCUUUUGGUAGAUUAUAACUUUAACUACUGCCUGGGAUAUAAACUUGUAAUUCUUUAAUUCUUUCCUAGUAUAGAGGUAAUAAUGGCAAAAGUAACUUUUGGCCAGUAGUUCUUAAUAGUAUAGGUAUCCCGCUAAUCUCUAAUCCAAAAACAAUUUGUGAGAUGGCACACUAAUACAACACUAUAAAUCCAUGGACAUUCAUAAUGGAUGCAGUAAGAUAAUUAUUUGCACUCUGACCUUGUAGUGUUGUUCUCUUGUUUUUGUUUUUUGUUUUUGCCUGCUUGCUAUCAUUACACAAAUAUAUGCAGUCUUUUUCUCAUCUCAAGAUAACCAAUAUUUGUCUUGUUAUGAUAUUACAUUAAUUAAAUGAAAUUCUCAUCCCUACCUUUCACCACAUUACUGUUCAGUGCAACACAGUACUUUUCAGUUCCUUGAAAGGCAGCACAUCAAGGUGCGGAUCAAAUUCAAAUUAUUCACUGGACUCUAGAUGUCAUCUUCAUUACUCUCUUUGUAGGAGAAAUAUAAUUUCCAUAGCACUUGUGGGCAAAAAUCAAGGCUUUUUAUCCAGAAGGAUUUCCAUCACAUUAUUCUCCAAUUAUGAUCUGCACGCCGACAGAUGUACUGUUCCCAUUUCUCCUUCCAGACAUUAUAGCAGCUGUCACACAUCUGUAUUCCACAGCCUGAUAUGUCAUUUAGAGGAUGGGUAAAUUAUCAACACAGUCUCAGAGGUUCUCCCGCAUUAGCAGACAAGACUGUUAUCUCCUUUGUGUGCAGUUAUGUUUCAAGGCUUCAGCUAAAUAAUCCAUAGAAUUUGCAGCUGACCAGAAAUCGUUCAAUUAGCGGAAUGUCGUAAGGGGAAAUCUCAUUUACACUUCAGGCCAAUAUUAAUGCUUAUCAUUCCAUAUUCUAAAUAUGUCAAAACCCCUAAUAAAUAAUCCAAAGAAGUGUCUGCUCUGAUGCAAUGUCAAAGAUAAACACAGUCAAAUUGCUAUAAAUAAAACCUGUUUGUCCCAUGACAACUCUCUCUUAAUAACACAAAAAUCCAUUCCAGCAGCCUCAAGCAUUCUGUGUUCCCAAGCACAAAUUGAUACACACUUUGCAUAGCUAUUUCACAUUAGCAUUGUAUUACUAAAUGAUCAUUUAAUUUCCACCUAUUAACCGCACAGACUAGAUACCGUAACUUUGGACAACCACACCACAGAAGACAUGUGACCAUAAAGAUCCAAGGGAAAUGAAAUAUUGGCAGAUUUUUAUUUAAACCUGACUUCACACAGAUGAUUCCAGAGAGAAAACAUGGACUGAAAAAGGAGGUCAUCUUAGUGUGCAUCUAUAUUGUAGAAUGAAUGCAACUUGACACCACUUUAACUGCCAUAGCUCAAUGCUAUGAGAUCCUGGGAGUUGUAGUUUGUUGAAGCAUCAACACUUUUUGCCAGAGAAGGCUGAAUACCUUGUGAAACUACAGUUCUUGUGAUCCCAUAGCAUUGAGCAUGGAUGUCAAACUGAUGUAAAACUGCAUGAAUUAUACUGUGUAGAUGCACCCUAUGUCACUACAGUAGAGUCUCACUUAUCCAAGCUAAACGGGCUGGCAGAACCUUGGAUAAGCAAAUAUCUUGGAUAAUAAGGAGGGAUUAAGGAAAAGCCUAUUAAACAUCAAAUUAGGUUAUGAUUUUACAAAUUAAGCACCAAAACAUCAUGUUAUACAAAAAAAAUUGACAGAAAAAGUAGUUCAAUACGCAGUAAUAUUAUAUGUUAUAUUGUAAUUACUGUAUUUACGAAUUUAGCACCAAAAUAUCACAAUAUAUUGAAAACGUUGACUACAAAAAUGCAUUGGAUAAUCCAGAACCUUGGAUAAGCGAGUCUUGGAUAAGUGAGACUCUACUGUAUUUGUGUCACGAUUUGUGUCCAGUUUAAUUGAGGAAUCCCCAUACCAAGACAUAAAAUAGCAUGCUCUGAGUUCUUGUUCAAACAUUAUAACAUUUCAAUAUGGAAAGGCAUUUAAUGUCUUGCGUGUAAGUCAGUUUUGUAUGACAUACCGUAAUUUGAAUACAUGCUCUUCUUAUUGAAUACAUAUGCUAUAGAAAGUUGUCAACAGCUGGACAUUUCCGAACACAUUUACACCACUUGUUAUGUUUCUUCACAUCAACCCCACUUAUGGUGCCCCUAUAAUUGGGUUAGUUUUUGUUUUGUUUUGUUUUGGUAACAUUUAUUUAAAAGAGGUUGUUGCAAUGGCAUGGACAGAAAUUUGAGCUCAUACCUCUUAAAGUCAUUGUCCCCACAAACAAAAAGUAAUCUGAAGCUUUCCACAUAGGCCCAAUCUACACGUGGAAUACAGAUUAACUGGAUAAUAUGGCAGGGUAGGCUCAUAUAAUCUGGUUCAAAGCAUAUAAUGUGUAUUAUCUGUUUUGAUAAUCUGGACUAUAUAGCAGUGUAGAAGGGGCCUUAGAAGAAAAUAAUAACAUAUACACUUAUUUUAAUCUAGGAUUCAUGCAAGAUGAAGCCAUGUGGUCACCAUGAUAUUUAUAGACCCUUUGGUUUCGGCUGAGCUCAUAACCUGUUCAUUUUAUUUACACACAGAUGCUUGUUUACAGCCUUUUUGGCAUACCUUUAAUCCCUUUUAGUGUAUAAUUUAAAAUGCAAUUUCGAAAGUACCGGUCCAAUGUGGAGGCCAUUGAAGCAGCCACCUCGGGCACACGUCAAGGGAGGGCGCUGUCAAGGCCUCGACAAUGGCCCCGUGUAAAUUUACUGAGGAGAGAGGAGGCAGUGGCGGUGACCAUUGCCUCCCUCCUUGGCGAAGAGCUAGGCCUCAGAUAGGCCUUCCGCGUUCGCCAAGUAGGAGGGUGAUGGUCCCUGCUGCCACCUCUGCCCUUGGCGAACGGGGAAGGCCUACGGAGGCCUAGCUAUUCUCGCAAGGACUCACGAGACCUCACGAGAAUAGCUAGGCCUCAGUAGGCCUUCCCCGUUCGCCAAGGGCGGCGGCAGGACCAUUGUCUCCACCUCGGCGAAGGCCUCAACUUUCGCCGAGGAGGGAGGCAAUGGUCCCUGCUGCUGCCUCUGCCCCCAGCGAACGUGGAAGGCUUCAUAUGAGGCCUAGCUCUUCUUGCGAGGACUCACGAGACUUCUCUCUAUUAACUGGCUAGAGAGUUAAGAUCUGCUGGGGAGGCCUUGCUCUUGAUCCCACUCCCUUUGCAAGUGAGACUAGUGGGACAAGGGAUAGGGCCUUCUCAGUGGUGGCCCCUUGGUUAUGGAACUCCCUCCCCAAUUGAGAGGGACAUGAUUUAAAUACAAAUUUUCAAAUGAUUACAAGUCCCAUAUGUCCUGAUUCAGAGCCCUUGCUAACCAAAACUUGCUGAUGCUUAGAGAAAAUAGCUCCAACAGGAAAAUGACUGUUCUCUGUGUUCUAAAGGUUGAAACUAGCCAGCACUCCCCAGUACUCCCUAAUUUCUCACACGCUUGCAAUGAAACAAACAAGUAGAUAAAACCUGGCCCGGAAAGUAUAGCUCAGGGACAAUAAAACAUAAGAAGCUAUUGUCUUGCUUCUUAGAGCUGAAGAAACCAAUAAGAAUGCAUGUUAGAAAAUAUGUUUAUAACGUAAUCAAUUGUUAAUCCAAAGAGAUGAUUGAUUUGUGAAAACCAAUAAUAUGUUUCUACUUUCUGUAAUGAUUAUAAAAAGUCUUGCAACCAUUUUGAAGGCGCGACAAAUCCUUUGAAUGCAUUCCUGUAUGCUAUUUGUCGUCAUUGCUAAACUCGCAAUAAACAGCUUCUGCAGUUUGAA